rnacentral:lncRNA from 1 species
GUCAACUGAGAAUGCAGGGUUGGAUGCUGUUGUCUUUCCUAUAUCAUUGUUUGUGUGUGUUAAGCCUGUUGCAAGCAUUAGAUUUGGUCUGGACACCAAUGGGGAUGAACAGUGGUAUGGGAGAGAUGCAGCAUUCAUGUGACUUGAGAAGAAGUGAAAACUUGAAGCUUUUGAAAAUAAUGAGAAUAUGGGAAAUGAUCCUCAACCAAGGAAGAGAAUGAUACAGUUGUUGUAUGUAUGUAUUAUGAAACAUUAAUGAUGCAGACAGUUAUUAUGAAUAACUACAUUUAUAUAUUUUUUCUUCUGUAGAAUAUUUCUUCUGUUGAACAGGUAAUGUAUAACUGAUGAAUGAGUAUGCCUUAACAGUUCUAUUUUUUAUGUAUUUCUGCAUUGCUUUUAUUCAAAGCAGUUUGAGUGUACACAGAUAUCAAUGUAUAUCACCUGGCUUUGAGUAAAAAUUAUUUUUCGAAAUCAGUGCUACUAUAAAAUUUCA